GUGCUGACUUCGGCAGCAUGUAUGCAAAAAUUGGAACUAUACAGAGAAGAAUGGCCCCUGUGUGAGGAUGACACACGUUUGUGAAAAUAUCUUUUAUAAAAUAUAU
ensembl:snRNA U6 U6 spliceosomal RNA